UUAAGCGACUAAGCGUACACGGUGGAUGCCCUGGCAGUCAGAGGCGAUGAAGGACGUGCUAAUCUGCGAUAAGCGUCGGUGAGGUGAUAUGAACCGUUAUAACCGGCGAUUUCCGAAUGGGGAAACCCAGUGUGUUUCGACACACUAUCAUUAACUGAAUCCACAUAGGUUAAUGAGGCGAACCGGGGGAACUGAAACAUCUAAGUACCCCGAGGAAAAGAAAUCAACCGAGAUUCAGUUACACGUAGCGGCGAGCGAACGGGGAGGAGCCCAGAGCCUGAAUCAGUGUGUGUGUUAGUGGAAGCGUCUGGAAAGGCGCGCAACUUAUUCAGGAUACAGGGUGACAGCCCCGUACACAAAAAUGCACAUAUUGUGAGCUCGAUGAGUAGGGCGGGACACGUGGUAUCCUGUCUGAAUAUGGGGGGACCAUCCUCCAAGGCUAAAUACUCCUGACUGACCGAUAGUGAACCAGUACCGUGAGGGAAAGGCGAAAAGAACCCCGGCGAGGGGAGUGAAAAAGAACCUGAAACCGUGUACGUACAAGCAGUGGGAGCCUCUUAAUGGGGUGACUGCGUACCUUUUGUAUAAUGGGUCAGCGACUUAUAUUCUGUAGCAAGGUUAACCGAAUAGGGGAGCCGAAGGGAAACCGAGUCUUAACUGGGCGUUAAGUUGCAGGGUAUAGUUUUGGGAACCCGAAACCCGGUGAUCUAGCCAUGGGCAGGUUGAAGGUUGGGUAACACUAACUGGAGGACCGAACCGACUAAUGUUGAAAAAUUAGCGGAUGACUUGUGGCUGGGGGUGAAAGGCCAAUCAAACCGGGAGAUAGCUGGUUCUCCCCGAAAGCUAUUUAGGUAGCGCCUCGUGAAUUCAUCUCCGGGGGUAGAGCACUGUUUCGGCAAGGGGGUCAUCCCGACUUACCAACCCGAUGCAAACUGCGAAUACCGGAGAAUGUUAUCACGGGAGACACACGGCGGGUGCUAACGUCCGUCGUGAAGAGGGAAACAACCCAGACCGCCAGCUAAGGUCCCAAAGUCAUGGUUAAGUGGGAAACGAUGUGGGAAGGCCCAGACAGCCAGGAUGUUGGCUUAGAAGCAGCCAUCAUUUAAAGAAAGCGUAAUAGCUCACUGGUCGAGUCGGCCUGCGCGGAAGAUGUAACGGGGCUAAACCAUGCACCGAAGCUGCGGCAGCGACGGGAUGCACUAUGUGUUGUUGGGUAGGGGAGCGUUCUGUAAGCCUGUGAAGGUGGCCUGUGAGGGUUGCUGGAGGUAUCAGAAGUGCGAAUGCUGACAUAAGUAACGAUAAAGCGGGUGAAAAGCCCGCUCGCCGGAAGACUAAGACACCGUCGCCCGGCCAAGGGUUCCUGUCCAACGUUAAUCGGGGCAGGGUGAGUCGACCCCUAAGGCGAGGCCGAAAGGCGUAGUCGAUGGGAAACAGGUUAAUAUUCCUGUACUUGGUGUUACUGCGAAGGGGGGACGGAGAAGGCUAUGUUGGCCGGGCGACGGUUGUCCCGGUUUAAGCGUGUAGGCUGGUUUUCCAGGCAAAUCCGGAAAAUCAAGGCUGAGGCGUGAUGACGAGGCACUACGGUGCUGAAGCGACAAAUGCCCUGCUUCCGGGAAAGGCCUCUAAGCAUCAGUAACAUCAAAUCGUAUUCUCUACCUGACCACCUGUGUCAGGUAGAGAAUACGAUUUUGAGAGAACUCGGGUGAAGGAACGGUAGGCAAAAUGGUGCCGUAACUUCGGGAGAAGGCACGCUGAUAUGUAGGUGAAGCGACUUGCUCGUGGAGCUGAAAUCAGUCGAAGAUACCAGCUGGCUGCAACUGUUUAUUAAAAACACAGCACUGUGCAAACGAGAGUCUUCAAGCUUCGUGUCAAGCUCCAUCCACGAAAGUGGACGUAUACGGUGUGACGCCUGCCCGGUGCCGGAAGGUUAAUUGAUGGGGUUAGCGGUAACGCGAAGCUCUUGAUCGAAGCCCCGGUAAACGGCGGCCGUAACUAUAACGGUCCUAAGGUAGCGAAAUUCCUUGUCGGGUAAGUUCCGACCUGCACGAAUGGCGUAAUGAUGGCCAGGCUGUCUCCACCCGAGACUCAGUGAAAUUGAACUCGCUGUGAAGAUGCAGUGUACCCGCGGCAAGACGGAAAGACCCCGUGAACCUUUACUAUAGCUUGACACUGAACAUUGAGCCUUGAUGUGUAGGAUAGGUGGGAGGCUUUGAAGUGUGGACGCCAGUCUGCAUGGAGCCGACCUUGAGAAUACCAACCUUCGUGCUCCUCCGUUACUCUUUAGGAGGAGCCCCUUACCGGGGUUGCGGACAGUGUCUGGUGGGUAGUUUGACUGGGGCGGUCCCAGUAAAGAACAACGGAACAUUAAAGGGUGGUAGGUCGGACAUCAGGAGGUUAGUGCAAUGGCAUAAGCCAGCUUGACUGCGAGCGUGACGGCGCGAGCAGGUGCGAAAGCAGGUCAUAGUGAUCCGGUGGUUCUGAAUGGAAGGGCCAUCGCUCAACGGAUAAAAGGUACUCCGGGGAUAACAGGCUGAUACCGCCCAAGAGUUCAUAUCGACGGCGGUGUUUGGCACCUCGAUGUCGGCUCAUCACAUCCUGGGGCUGAAGUAGGUCCCAAGGGUAUGGCUGUUCGCCAUUUAAAGUGGUACGCGAGCUGGGUUUAGAACGUCGUGAGACAGUUCGGUCCCUAUCUGCCGUGGGCGCUGGAGAACUGAGGGGGGCUGCUCCUAGUACGAGAGGACCGGAGUGGACGCAUCACUGGUGUUCGGGUUGUCAUGCCAAUGGCACUGCCCGGUAGCUAAAUGCGGAAGAGAUAAGUGCUGAAAGCAUCUAAGCACGAAACUUGCCCCGAGAUGAGUUCUCCCUGACUCCUUGAGAGCCCAGGAACCGCGCUACAGCCAGCUGCAUUACACACCCGCCGGCAGUCCUGAAGGAACGUUGAAGACGACGACGUUGAUAGGCCGGGUGUGUAAGCGCAGCGAUGCGUUGAGCUAACCGGUACUAAUGAACCGUGAGGCUUAACCU
rnacentral:rRNA from 1 species